rnacentral:rRNA from 1 species
GAUGAACGCUGACAGAAUGCUUAACACAUGCAAGUCAACUUGAAUUUGAGUUUUUAACUUAGAUUUGGGUGGCGGACGGGUGAGUAACGCGUAAAGAACUUGCCUCACAGCUAGGGACAACAUUUAGAAAUGAAUGCUAAUACCUGAUAUUAUGAUUUUAAGGCAUCUUAGAAUUAUGAAAGCUAUAAACACUGUGAGAGAGCUUUGCGUCCCAUUAGCUAGUUGGAGAGGUAACAGCUCACCAAGGCGAUGAUGGGUAGCCGGCCUGAGAGGGUGAACGGCCACAAGGGGGCUGAGACACGGCCCUUACUCCUACGGGAGGCAGCAGUGGGGAAUAUUGGACAAUGGACCGAGAGUCUGAUCCAGCAAUUCUGUGUGCACGAUGAAGUUUUUCGGAAUGUAAAGUGCUUUCAGUUGGGAAGAAAAAAAUGACGGUACCAACAGAAGAAGUGACGGCUAAAUACGUGCCAGCAGCCGCGGUAAUACGUAUGUCACGAGCGUUAUCCGGAUUUAUUGGGCGUAAAGCGCGUCUAGGUGGUUAUGUAAGUCUGAUGUGAAAAUGCAGGGCUCAACUCUGUAUUGCGUUGGAAACUGUGUAACUAGAGUACUGGAGAGGUAAGCGGAACUACAAGUGUAGAGGUGAAAUUCGUAGAUAUUUGUAGGAAUGCCGAUGGGGAAGCCAG